rnacentral:rRNA from 1 species
UCCAGACUCCUACGGGAGGCAGCAGUGGGGGAUAUUGCACAAUGGGGGCAACCCUGAUGCAGCGACGCCGCGUGAGCGAUGGAGUACUUCGGUAUGUAAAGCUCUGUCAGCAGGGAAGAGAAUGACGGUACCUGACCAAGAAGCCCCGGCUAAAUACGUGCCAGCAGCCGCGGUAAUACGUAUGGGGCAAGCGUUAUCCGGAUUUACUGGGUGUAAAGGGAGCGUAGACGGAAAGGCAAGUCAGAAGUGAAAGCCCAAGGCUCAACCAUGGGACUGCUUUUGAAACUGUCAAACUAGAGUACGGGAGAGGUAAGAGGAAUUCCUAGUGUAGCGGUGAAAUGCGUAGAUAUUAGGAGGAACACCAGUGGCGAAGGCGUCUUACUGGACCGAAACUGACGUUGAGGCUCGAAAGCGUGGGGAGCAAACAGGAUUAGAUACCCCCGUAA